rnacentral:rRNA from 1 species
UACGAAGGGUGCUAGCGUUGUUCGGAAUUAUUGGGCGUAAAGAGCUCGUAGGCGGCCUGUUGCGUCCGCUGUGAAAUCCCGGGGCUCAACCCCGGGCCUGCAGUGGAUACGGGCUGGCUAGAGGCAGGCAGGGGAGAACGGAAUUCCUGGUGUAGCGGUGAAAUGCGCAGAUAUCAGGAGGAACACCGGUGGCGAAGGCGGUUCUCUGGGCCUGUACUGACGCUGAGGAGCGAAAGCGUGGGGAGCGAACAGG